UACGUAGGGGGCUAGCGUUGUCCGGAUUUAUUGGGCGUAAAGAGCGCGUAGGCGGCCGAGUAAGUCCGACGUGAAAUCUGGAGGCUCAACCUCCAGCGGUCGUUGGAAACUACUCGGCUAGAGUCCGGAAGAGGAGAGUGGAAUUCCUGGUGUAGCGGUGAAAUGCGCAGAUAUCAGGAAGAACACCGAUGGCGAAAGCAGCUCUCUGGGACGGUACUGACGCUGAGGCGCGAAAACGUGGGGAGCGAACAGG
rnacentral:rRNA from 1 species